AAGAAAAUCUGUUUUGCCACGUCACGAUCGCCCAAAUAGAAUGAGCAUUUUCUGUGGGCUACGUGAAAACCUCCAGCCCAAAACCUUUUUCGUUUUGCAGUUCUGUUCUCCAACUCUUACGCUUCCUCUUCUUCAAUCUCAGAGUUCAUACGUUACCUUAAACAAUCAAUGAUGAUUUUACAACUCAUACUGAAUGUUUCGUUCCACCUUCUCUCAAUCCUUCUUCUAUAUAGAUAUCUAUGUUUAGACCUAAAUUCACCAAAAUCAAAAACUCCUCUAGCUACAGCCAUGACCACGAAAUCCACAAGAGAAUCUCAGCUCUUCACCAGAAAAUCUCCUGUCGCCUUUUAUGUCCACAACCUUUCACCAGCACCACCUGAGUUAGAGAUUCCAUUUCGGUUAAUCCAUUGCAAAAGGUGAGACCUUUAUUGGCUUAGAGCUGCUAGGGUCAAGAUGGAGGUCCCUUCAGAUGGUACCAUACUGAAGAAGAGAAGACACGUGGCAAAAUCACUUCUCAAAUAUAGUCUAGGGGAUGCAGGAGAUCGAUCUUGAGUUGGAUACUAAGUAAAGAAAUAUCUUGCAGGAGAAAAUAAUUAAAAGGUAACACAACGUUUUAAUGACUGUGGCUUUUGGUUGGAAAAUGCAGAGGUUGAAAUUUUCUUCAUAUUCUGUAGUCAUUGAAAGAAGAACAUUAUAGGUAUCAUACGUAAAUUGUACUUUGUUAUAUUCUGAAGUUUUGUUUCUGAUGACAUUGACAGUACGGUGCCAACACCUCAUCUAUAAGUGUUGUUACUUUUAGGUCAGGCUCUGUCGUUUAAGGAUUUUUUUUUCCUGUUCAGCAGGAUGUGUGACAUGCUUUUCAGAGCAACCUCUCAUCCCCUUCCUGAACUUAUUUUCUUUCUUGACAACUGAGUGACAUGGAGAGAAUAUACGUUAAGUGGUUGAGACGAUAGAGUGCUUUGUAUCAACAGCUUGGAGACCACAAGAAGCGUACCAAUAAAAUUGAUAUCAAUCAGAGAAAAUCAUGCUUGCGAAGCAUACUUCCUCAGGGUGAUUAAGAUGGGAGCAAUGGAGAAGGAUGGGUAUACACUACGGUUUUGUUGCAAUCCACUAUGGACUGUGCCUACAGUUUUCGAUAAUUUCAGUGCGAAUGUAGUGGUUAACGGAGCCACCGUUAAUCUUGGAUUGUGGGAUACUGCAGGGCAAGGAUUACAAUAGAUUAAGACCACUUAGUUACAGUGGAGCAGAUUUUUUCAUAUUGGCCUUCUCUCUUAUCAGUAAAGCCAGUUAUGAAAAUGUCUCCAAAAAGUGGAUCCCUGAGUUGAAACAUUAGCUCCUGGUGUCCCCAUCAUUCUCUUUGGCUCAAAGCUCGAUGGUCUGUUGUUGCUGCUGCUCUCUAGAUCUUCGAGAUGAUAAACAGUUCUUCAUCGACCAUCCUGGUGCUGUCCCGAUUACUACUGCUCAGGGAGAGGAGCUGAGGAAGCUAAUAGAUGUUACGUCGAAUGCAGUUCCAAAUCUCAAGAGUUUGAAUACAGAAUGUGAAAGCGGUGUUUGACGCAGCCAUACGAGUGGUCUUGCGACCUCCGAAGCAAAAGAAGAAGAAGAGCAGAGCGCAGAAGGCGAGCUCCAUCCUAUGAUGAUGGUGAUGAUUGGAAAAGAUCUGUUUUUUUAUUUAUUUGUGGUUUUGGUAACAUUGCAUCAGUGAGUUAAUGGACAGACACCAAGUUUGGUUUUGAUUUUUUGUUUGUUUUUAAUAUUAAAUCGAGUUUAUUCGAAUCAGCAUCUUUUGCGUCUUCAAUUCAAUCCA